rnacentral:rRNA from 1 species
CAUGCAAGUCGAGCGAGCGGACCAACAGAUUUACUUCGGUAAUGACGUUGGGAAANCGAGCGGCGGAUGGGUGAGUAACACGUGGGGAACCUGCCCCUAAGUCUGGGAUACCAUUUGGAAACAGGUGCUAAUACCGGAUAAUAAAGCAGAUCGCAUGANCAGCUUUUGAAAGGCGGCGUAAGCUGUCGCUAAGGGAUGGCCCCGCGGUGCAUUAGCUAGUUGGUAAGGUAACGGCUUACCAAGGCGACGAUGCAUAGCCGAGUUGAGAGACUGAUCGGCCACAUUGGGACUGAGACACGGCCCAAACUCCUACGGGAGGCAGCAGUAGGGAAUCUUCCACAAUGGACGCAAGUCUGAUGGAGNAACGCCGCGUGAGUGAAGAAGGUUUUCGGAUCGUAAAGCUCUGUUGUUGGUGAAGAAGGAUAGAGGUAGUAACUGGCCUUUAUUUGACGGUAAUCAACCAGAAAGUCACGGCUAACUACGUGCCAGCAGCCGCGGUAAUACGUAGGUGGCAAGCGUUGUCCGGAUUUAUUGGGCG